CGCUAGCUACAGGCUUAACACAUGCAAGUCGAGGGGUAGCAGGAUCUAGCAAUAGAUUGCUGACGACCGGCGCACGGGUGAGUAACACGCAUCCAACUCCGUUUACUCGGGGAUAGCCUUUCGAAAGAAAGAUUAAUACCCGAUAGUAUGUUUUUCCCGCAUGGGAGAACCAUUAAAGUUUUUCGGUAAUCGAUGGGGAUGCGUUCCAUUAGGCAGUUGGUGAGGUAACGGCUCACCAAACCUUCGAUGGAUAGGGGUUCUGAGAGGAAGGUCCCCCACAUUGGAACUGAGACACGGUCCAAACUCCUACGGGAGGCAGCAGUGAGGAAUAUUGGUCAAUGGACGAGAGUCUGAACCAGCCAAGUAGCCGUGAAGGAUGACUGCCCUAUGGGUUGUAAACUUUCUUUUAUAUGGGAAUAAAGGAGCCUACGUGUAGGUUUUUGUAUGUACCAUACGAAUAAGGAUCGGCUAACUCCGUGCCAGCCGCCGC
rnacentral:rRNA from 1 species